UGUGGUUAACCUCUUUAGGUCAAAGUUUUCCUUCUAGAACCUUCUGUAUGACUGAAUUUGUAGAUGGAUAUUGCUUGAAUUUGGUUUUUAUCAUGGUGUGUCUUAGUUUCUCCAUCUAUUGUGAUUGAAAGUUUUGCUGGCAUCUGUGGUCUUUCAGAGUCACCAUUGAAAAGUCAGGUCUUGCGCAAAGCUACACAGAGAAACCCUGUCUCGAAAAACCCAAAAAAAAAGUCAGGUCUUAUUUUAAAUUUCUGCCUCAAUAAGUGACUUGGUCUUUUUCCCUUGCAGCUUUAAACAUUUUUUCUUUGUUCUAUACAUUCAGCGUUUUGACUGUUAUGUGUUGAGGGGAAUUUUGGGGUGGGGUCCAGUCUAUUUGGUGUUUUGUAUCCUUCUUGUACCAUGAUAGACAUCUCCUUCUUUAAGUUAGGGAGGGAAAUUUUCUUCUAUGAUUUUAUUGGAAAUAUUUUCUGUACUUUUGACCUGGGUUUCCACUCCUUCUUCCAUUCUUAUUAUUCUUAGGUUUGGUCUGUUCAUAGUGUCCCACGUUUCCUGAGUGCUUUGCACCAGGAGUGUUUUAGAUUUAACAUAUUCUUUGACCGAGGUAUCCAUUUCUUUUAUCAUGUCUUCAAUGCCUGAGAUUCUUUCUUCUACCUCUUUUAUUCUGUCAGUAAGACUUGCCUCUGGGGUUCCUGUUACAGUUACUAAAUUUUUCCAGAUUUCUCCCUUUUGGGGUUUUCUUUAUUGAUUCUAUUUCCACUUUCAGGUCUUGAACUGCUGUAUUCGUUUGUUUCUACUUUUUUUGUGUUUUCAUAGAUUUCUUUAAGGAAUUUAUUCAUUUACUCAUUAAGAAUCUAUCAUGUUCAUAAAGGCUAUUUCAAGGUCUUCAUCAUGUUCUUCAGUUAUGAUGCAAUUCUCAAGGCCUACUCUGGUAAGGUUGCUGGGAUGUUAUUGGUCCUGAAUGUUAUUGAUUAUGUUUUUGCACUGGCAUGUAGGCAUCUGGGUUUAGCGUGAGUGUAACUCUAGGUGCCUUGUUUUGUGGGUGGAUGUUUGGGUCCUUGGUUUCUGUUGCCCUUUCUAUUUAUUAAGAAGGUAUGGUAUGGCAAGUGUGUGUCACCUGGUGGGGAAUUCUUCUGAGAUCCUGCUAGGUGUGGUUAUUGGGGUUCUGGGUAAAAUGUGUUUCUAGGUGUUGGGAGAUGACACUUAGGAAUGGGGUUGGGCUGGGAGGUGCAGCUGAGGGUGUCCACAGGAAGUGGGAAAGCAGAGUGUUCCACUAAGACCUGCUUAGUCACCUGAAAUUGGGGGCAGAGAUUGUGGAGAGGCCAAAAUAUUUAGUCUGCUACAGAGCUGGGGAUGAGACUGGGGGCGACUAUGGGGAGUGGUGGGAAGUGGGGGAGUGAAGAUCUGAAGCUCACCUACCUGCUUUACUGGCCUACUUACUUCUCUGGCAGGCUUGGCUGGUGGGUUCUCAGGGAAUGCCUGCUGGAGUUGAGAGCUGGGAUGACAGGAUGAGUCAGAAGGAAGGCUGGAGGAGAAGAUCUGCCUGAGCUUCUGGAGAUGGGAGAAGGGGAUGGGGGAUGCAGCUGGCGGUCAGCCACAGAAAUGGGGAUGAGACUGUGGGAUUGGAUCUGGAGAGAGGAGGGAGAGGUGAAGACCUGCAGUUAGCCUACUUGCUUCCCUGGCUGGCUUGACCUGAUCGCUUACACUUUGCUGUGGAUUCUUUCCGAGACUGAUGACUAGACACUGUGAUGAUAACCAUAUCCCAGAACAAUCUCGAAUAUCUUAACCUGAAGAUUCUUACAUCUGUAAAGACUCAUAUGGAAAUAAGAUGGAUGCUCACUUUUUGACAUGCAAGUGCAGCUAUUCCUUACUCGGUAGUGACGUGGAGCUCCCUCUGGUGGCUGAGAUAAACUUGCGUCUCUCUAAAAUUAUCAAGUUAAAGGCAAGCACCUUCACUUAAAACUGGUUGCUGAUGUUCUUCAUUCUGUGGACUGUGUUUUAAACAGAUGGGAUUUCUUCUAGUUGUUUUCGAUAGAAAGUAGAAGAGACUGAAGGAGUGGAAAGGCUUCCAACAUUAGAUGUGUACCUUGGUUGUUCUGAUUUCCUCAGGUGCAUUAAGAGUUCUAAAUGCCUCAUCAUAUCUAGCUCUCACCACACUCCUGAAUCAAUAUUCAUAGCUGGUUCUCCCGUGGUCCUGCUCACAGAUCAAUAAAUGGAACUCUCAGGCAUACUAGCCUCUUGGUAUAAUCAGCUUUCUCAUUCAAACAAGCCAUCUGGGCUCUACUGAGGACAUCACUCUCUCGUGAAAUUGGCACUAGUGACAAUGCUCAUCUGCCUUCCUGGCCCUGGUAAUUAUCAAGCCGUGUUGAUGUUCUCUUCAUAAAUAUGGCAUUUACUACUUGGGAAACUGUUUCAGUAUAUCAAGUUUGACCUUUGACUUCUCCGCUGGGAAAAUAUGUCUCAAGAUGGUUCUCUUAGAGCUAUUAUUGUACAGUGCUCCUCCAUAUUCCACCAAUCACCUUUCUUUGCCAUCAUAUAUUUUUUUUUUCACCAGAGUCGACGACUAACAUGGUGCUGAAGGCAAGAGAAGAGAAAUCUCUCCGGAGCUGGCAAGGCCAUUCUUUAAUCAUAGCCACAGGUUGCUGCUUCUCAGCAUGACACGUCAUCAUCAUCUGCCUGGGAUUUAGUAUGAUCCUCUCAGAAGCAGUGUUCAGAGAAGUGUCACAGCUGCCUGUGGAGACAAGCUAAAUCAUCAGAGGUUUAUUUCCUCCUUUAUUCUCUGAAAAGAGCAAGGAGAAGUCUGCACAGAAGAGGGCUGAACACUUCCUUGGCCUAAGGAAAGGAUGCUACAGCUAAAACACACCUCAGUUGUCUUGGGGUUAUAAAGUACAGAUUCCAGUGGGCUGUCUUGUUUUUGUUGCUGAUGUUUCUCUACUUAACAAAAAAGAAAGUACUGGACCACAGCAGGGUAAAACCUUUAUUUUUAUUUCCUGUCUGGAGUUGUGUAUCUUGUAAUAUUUCAAACAUGAAUUGAAAAAUACUACCCAAUAAAGGAGUGAGAUUAACCUA